rnacentral:rRNA from 1 species
UACGUAGGGGGCAAGCGUUGUCCGGAAUCAUUGGGCGUAAAGCGCGUGUAGGCGGCCCGAUAAGUCCGCUGUGAAAGUCCAGGGCUCAACCCUGGGAUGCCGGUGGAUACUGUCGGGCUCGAGUCCGGAAGAGGGAGUGUGGGAAUUCCGUGGUGUAGCGGUGAAAUGCGCAGAUAUCAGGAGGAACACCAAUGGCGAAGGCAGCACUCUGGGACGUGACUGACGCUGAGACGCGAAAGCGUGGGGGAGCAAACAGG